rnacentral:rRNA from 1 species
UAAGGAAUAUUGGUCAAUGGACGCAAGUCUGAACCAGCCAUGCCGCGUGGAGGAUGAAGGCCCUCUGGGUUGUAAACUUCUUUUAUAUGGGACGAAAAAGGGUCUUUCUAGAUCAACUGACGGUACCAUGUGAAUAAGCACCGGCUAACUCCGUGCCAGCAGCCGCGGUAAUACGGAGGGUGCAAGCGUUAUCCGGAUUCACUGGGUUUAAAGGGUGCGUAGGUGGGUCUGUAAGUCAGUGGUGAAAUCUUCGAGCUUAACUCGGAAACUGCCAUUGAUACUAUAGGUCUUGAAUCAUCUGGAGGUGAGCGGAAUAUGUCAUGUAGCGGUGAAAUGCUUAGAUAUGACAUAGAACACCGAUUGCGAAGGCAGCUCACUACGGAUGUAUUGACACUGAGGCACGAAAGCGUGGGGAUCAAACA